rnacentral:siRNA from 1 species
GCCAGGCUAUCUCGCCACCUG